ACGGAACGGGCCCCUCCGACCCGUCUAGUAACACGGACCAAGGAGUCUGACACGUGUGCGAGUACCCGGGUGGCAAGCCCGCGUGCGGAAUGAAAGUGAAGGGCAUGCCCUGCCAACCGACCUUGACCUGCUGUGAGGGGUUUGAGUGGAGCACACCUGUCGGGACCCGAAAGAUGGUGAACUAUGCCUGGGUAGGGUGAAGCCAGAGGAAACUCUGGUGGAGGCUCGUAGCGAUACUGACGUGCAAAUCGUUCGUCGAAUCUGGGUAUAGGGGCGAAAGACUAAUCGAACCAUCUAGUAGCUGGUUCCCUCCGAAGUUUCCCACAGGAUAGCUUGAACGCAACGGUUUUGUCAGGUAAAGCGAAUGAUUAGAGGCCUGUGGGCUGAAACAGCUUGCACCUAUUCUCAAACUUUAAAUGGGCAAGAGGCCCGGGAUGCUUGAGUGAUCCCGGGCGGCGAACGGCGCGUUCAAAGUGGGCCAUUUUUGGUAAGCAGAACUGGCGAUGCGGGAUGAACCGAACGCCGCGCUAAGGUACCCAAGUGUCCGCUCAUCAGAUACCACAAAAGGCGUUGGUACCUCCAGACAGCAGGACGGUGGCCAUGGAAGUCGGAACCCGCUAAG
rnacentral:rRNA from 1 species